UAUUUUUGUAACUUACAAUUCCAUGACACCUUACAGAAAUAAUUCCUCAAAAAUGGAAGCCGCUGAUACAGUCAUACUUCCUGUAAUGAUUUGAUUUAAUACGACAUCCUUAAUCCUGAGAUUUGAUUGCAGAUGAAAGAAUACAGCUAAAACUACAGUGAAUGAAAAAAAUCUUCCCUUUGAACUUCCCUCCAAUCACCUUCUUGGAAGCUCUUUACUCAGAGUCAACAACUUCUGAUUUUUUUUUUUAAGGAAAUAGAUACUCUAUAAUCAACUAUAGUAAUUCCCUAUAUACGUGUGUGUGUGUGUUUGUGUGUGUGUGUGUGUGUGUUUAGCCUUUUUAUGACAUUUGAGAACACUGAGGAGUGCUGAUCUGGUCUAAACUCUACACUUUAUAUCUAGGGAGAUAAAAGGAUCAAAAAGUUUGAGUAACUUGUUCAAGGUUACUGAGC
rnacentral:lncRNA from 1 species